AUGGUUCGAUAGUGAAAGAUGGCUUUGCUAUCACUUAUAGAUGGACCUGCGCCGUAUUAGCUAGUUGGUAAGGUAACGGCUUACCAAGGCAACGAUACGUAGCCGACCUGAGAGGGUGAUCGGCCACACUGGAACUGAGACACGGUCCAGACUCCUACGGGAGGCAGCAGUAGGGAAUCUUCCGCAAUGGGCGAAAGCCUGACGGAGCAACGCCGCGUGAGUGAUGAAGGUCUUCGGAUCGUAAAACUCUGUUAUUAGGGAAGAACAAACGUGUAAGUAACUGUGCACGUCUUGACGGUACCUAAUCAUAAAGCCACGGCUAACUACGUGCCAGCACCCGCGGUAAUACGUACGUGGCAAGCGUUAUCCGGAAUUAUUGGGCGUAAAGCGCGCGUAGGCGCCUUUUUAAUUCUGAUGUGAUUUCCCACUGCUCAAC
rnacentral:rRNA from 1 species